AGAGCAUAACUGUGCAAAAAUAUGGAAUUAUACUUUUCUUACUUUUAUGGGAAAAAUUAAAGAAAAAAAAGAAUUUUUGUGAAUGAAAUAGCAAGUAAAAACUGAAGAACAAUUCAACACCGAGAGGGAAAAAUCGACCAAGGCAGACCCUAAACAAAUUUUCUCAAUCCAAAUCUCUGAUUUGCGUCGUCGGGUUCUUGUGCACAUCGGGUUUGCAUUGGACCUAAUCGCCUUGGAGAUCGAAGGAGCUGCGAGGUGGGGGUCGUUUUCGUCGUAGAUCUCUAGUUUAGGUAUUUGUGGUGGCAUCAACCACGAACCCUAGUGUUUUGGUGUGCCUGACUUGCUUGUGUGGUGGAGAUCUAUUCUUCAGGGUCUUCUUUCGGCAACCAAGAACAAGAUAUGGCAUCUUCAUUGUCUUCAGUUGGAAUCUAGAUUAUUUGAUGUCGCCGACCAACUACGGAUGCAUAGGCAUCUCCUCCAUCAUUCUCUUUGAUGGACUGCCAAAGUGGGAGGAGGAAUGGAAGCAAACAAGAACAAUUUCAUAGAGGAGUGGGGAUUUGCAAGAGAAAACCAAAUAGAAUGUUAAAUAUUAUUACUUCAUUUAAAUAAAUAAGAAGUAUAUUCUUA